GGACUACCAGGGUAUCUAAUCCUGUUUGCUCCCCACGCUCUCGCGCCUCAGCGUCAGUAUCAGGCCAGGUAGCUGCCUUCGCCAUCGACGUUCUUUCCGAUCUCUACGCAUUUCACCGCUACACCGGAAAUUCCGCUACCCUCUCCCAUACUCCAGAUAGAUCGUUUGAAAUGCACUUCCUAGGUUAAGCCCAGGGCUUUCACAUCUCACUCCCCUAUCCGCCUACGCGCCCUUUACGCCCAGUAACUCCGAUUAACGCUCGCACCCUCUGUAUUACCGCGGCUGCUGGCAC
rnacentral:rRNA from 1 species